UCAAGGUUGGGGACCCGGCCGUAGCUGCGGCGGGGCGGGUUACCGGUUGGAGCCAAGUCCAGGCUGAGGAUCCAAAGCGGAAAAGGAGAUGAGCCUGGGCGAUGCGGGGACUGUGUGGCCUUCUGGAGGGUCCCAGGAAGCGGGCUGGUCCCGGGAAGCAGGUUGGGCGAUGCCAGCGGGAAGCCCGGCCCCAGGUUGUGUGCGGAGAUUCACCCGGAAGGCCAAUUGCCAGUGCUUGCCAUGCAGCAGAAGCUCAACAAAUGUCAGAUGUGCGAGUGAGUGGAUGAAAUGAACUUCCGGAAUCCCAGGCAGACGCUGGCACUGCCUGGUCCCCGGGCAUCCGAGAGGUGGCUGUCUGUGUUGGGGGGGAGUUUCUCCUGUACACCCCUGGUGAGGUCAGGGAAGCUCCCAAAUUCACCCUCCUAGACCUUCAAAGCUCAGGAUGGAGAGGGAGAGGUGCGCUCCUGGGCAUUGGCACAUGCCAGUCCUCACCCCCAACCUCAUUCACAUUUAUGUGUACAUAAUGUGAAGUUCAAGACCUUUCCUGCCCUGACUGGUUUGGCUCAGUGGAUAGAGCAUCGGCCUGCGGACUCAAGGGUCCCAGGUUUGAUUCCAGUCAAGGGCAUGUAUCUUGGUUGCGGGCACAUCCCCAGUGGGGAGUGUGCAGGAGGCAGCUGAUCGAUGUUUCUAACUCUCUAUCCUUCUCCCUUCCUCUCUGUAAAAAAUCAAUAAAAUAUAUAUA